UUAAACAACCGCCAAAAAAAGAGCCAAACGCUCCAGAAACACACGCGCUCCACGCCGCCUCCUGCCGUCGGCCCCGGCGAACCAAUCCAAAGGGUUUGGACUGACUUGCAAAAAUACAUCAGUAAAUGAUUUUAAAAGGUAAAGCGGACAGCUGCAAUGCCUCGUCUUCCCCAAGACCAGAACAAUAAAGUGAGAUCAGUGGAGAACUUGAAAGGCCCAAACUAGCCUAAAGGCCCAAACUAGCCUAAAGGCCCAAACUAGCCUAACCAGCUUUUUGCUUCUGUAACUAUGCUUGCUCAUAGGUAAUUAAGACCCCUACCCCUCCCUUUUUCUUUAUCUUUUCCCGUAAGUGUCCAUUGCAAGUUCUCGGAAUUGGGUAGUGGUCGUGCAACUGGUUGUGCAAGAUGGAGCUACUGAAAUUUCCCCACCCUAAACUCCCCGGCCACCUGCGUGUGGUCUCACCCCAUAAAAACCCUAAGCUUGAGAGCUUCGGCGCGGCAGCCUCCCCAUCUUGGUGAUGCUGUUUAGCCCCUGCGCGGGCUGGAAAUAAAUCCUCUUGCUCUCUUGCA